GUGAAGAUGCGGACUACCUGCACCUGGACAGAAAGACCCUAUGAAGCUUUACUGUAACUUGAAAUUGAAACUGGACUUGACUUGCGCAGGAUAGGUGGGAGGCGUUGAAAAUAUUCUUGCGGGAAUAUUAGAGCCAUCGGUGAGAUACCACUCUUGUCAUGUUAGGUUUCUAACUUGGUAUCAUGAUCUGGUCCAAGAACAGUUUCAGGCGGGCAGUUUGACUGGGGCGGUCGCCUCCUAAACGGUAACGGAGGCGUACAAAGGUUUCCUCUGAACGGGUAGAAAUCGUAUCUAGAGUGUAAAGGCAUAAGGAAGCUUGACUGUGAGACCUACAAGUCGAGCAGGGACGAAAGUCGGUCUUAGUGAUCUGACGGUGCUGAGUGGAAAGGCCGUCACUCAACGGAUAAAAGUUACUCUAGGGAUAAC
rnacentral:rRNA from 1 species